CCUACGGGAGGCUGCAGUGGGGAAUCUUCCGCAAUGGGCGCAAGCCUGACGGAGCAACGCCGCGUGAAUGAAGAAGGCCUUCGGGUUGUAAAAUUCUGUCUUUGGGGAAGAAAAAAAUGACGGUACCCAAGGAGGAAGCCCCGGCUAACUACGUGCCAGCAGCCGCGGUAAAACGUAGGGGGCAAGCGUUGUCCGGAAUUACUGGGCGUAAAGGGCGUGUAGGCGGUCACUUAAGUCAGGGGUGAAAACUGUGGGCUCAACCCACAGCCUGCCUUUGAAACUGGGUGGCUUGAGGACAGGAGAGGGGAGUGGAAUUCCCAGUGUAGCGGUGAAAUGCGUAGAUAUUGGGAGGAACACCAGUGGCGAAGGCGGCUCUCUGGCCUGUUUCUGACGCUGAGACGCGAAAGCGUGGGUAGCGAACGGGCUUAGAUACCCGGGUAGUC
rnacentral:rRNA from 1 species